ACUCUGGUAUUGAUUGGUGCUUGCAUCAUGAUUUACAUUUGAGUGAGUGGCGAACUGGUGAGUAACACGUGGGAAACCUGCCCAGAAGCGGGGGAUAACACCUGGAAACAGAUGCUAAUACCGCAUAACAACUUGGACCGCAUGGUCCGAGCUUGAAAGAUGGCUUCGGCUAUCACUUUUGGAUGGUCCCGCGGCGUAUUAGCUAGAUGGUGGGGUAACGGCUCACCAUGGCAAUGAUACGUAGCCGACCUGAGAGGGUAAUCGGCCACAUUGGGACUGAGACACGGCCCAAACUCCUACGGGAGGCAGCAGUAGGGAAUCUUCCACAAUGGACGAAAGUCUGAUGGAGCAACGCCGCGUGAGUGAAGAAGGGUUUCGGCUCGUAAAACUCUGUUGUUAAAGAAGAACAUAUCUGAGAGUAACUGUUCAGGUAUUGACGGUAUUUAACCAGAAAGCCACGGCUAACUACGUGCCAGCAGCCGCGGUAAUACGUAGGUGGCAAGCGUUGUCCGGAUUUAUUGGGCGUAAAGCGAGCGCAGGCGGUUUUUUAAGUCUGAUGUGAAAGCCUUCGGCUCAACCGAAGAAGUGCAUCGGAAACUGGGAAACUUGAGUGCAGAAGAGGACAGUGGAACUCCAUGUGUAGCGGUGAAAUGCGUAGAUAUAUGGAAGAACACCAGUGGCGAAGGCGGCUGUCUGGUCUGUAACUGACGCUGAGGCUCGAAAGUAUGGGUAGCAAACAGGAUUAGAUACCCUGGUAGUCCAUACCGUAAACGAUGAAUGCUAAGUGUUGGAGGGUUUCCGCCCUUCAGUGCUGCAGCUAACGCAUUAAGCAUUCCGCCUGGGGAGUACGGCCGCAAGGCUGAAACUCAAAGGAAUUGACGGGGGCCCGCACAAGCGGUGGAGCAUGUGGUUUAAUUCGAAGCUACGCGAAGAACCUUACCAGGUCUUGACAUACUAUGCAAAUCUAAGAGAUUAGACGUUCCCUUCGGGGACAUGGAUACAGGUGGUGCAUGGUUGUCGUCAGCUCGUGUCGUGAGAUGUUGGGUUAAGUCCCGCAACGAGCGCAACCCUUAUUAUCAGUUGCCAGCAUUAAGUUGGGCACUCUGGUGAGACUGCCGGUGACAAACCGGAGGAAGGUGGGGAUGACGUCAAAUCAUCAUGCCCCUUAUGACCUGGGCUACACACGUGCUACAAUGGAUGGUACAACGAGUUGCGAACUCGCGAGAGUAAGCUAAUCUCUUAAAGCCAUUCUCAGUUCGGAUUGUAGGCUGCAACUCGCCUACAUGAAGUCGGAAUCGCUAGUAAUCGCGGAUCAGCAUGCCGCGGUGAAUACGUUCCCGGGCCUUGUACACACCGCCCGUCACACCAUGAGAGUUUGUAACACCCAAAGUCGGUGGGGUAACCUUUUAGGAACCAGCCGCCUAAGGUGGACAG
rnacentral:rRNA from 1 species